rnacentral:rRNA from 1 species
AACUGCCUGAUGGAGGGGGAUAACUACUGGAAACGGUGGCUAAUACCGCAUAACGUCGCAAGACCAAAGAGGGGGACCUUCGGGCCUCUUGCCAUCAGAUGUGCCCAGAUGGGAUUAGCUUGUUGGUGAGGUAACGGCUCACCAAGGCGACGAUCCCUAGCUGGUCUGAGAGGAUGACCAGCCACACUGGAACUGAGACACGGUCCAGACUCCUACGGGAGGCAGCAGUGGGGAAUAUUGCACAAUGGGCGCAAGCCUGAUGCAGCCAUGCCGCGUGUAUGAAGAAGGCCUUCGGGUUGUAAAGUACUUUCAGCGGGGAGGAAGGUGUUGUGGUUAAUAACCGCAGCAAUUGACGUUACCCGCAGAAGAAGCACCGGCUAACUCCGUGCCAGCAGCCGCGGUAAUACGGAGGGUGCAAGCGUUAAUCGGAAUUACUGGGCGUAAAGCGCACGCAGGCGGUCUGUCAAGUCGGAUGUGAAAUCCCCGGGCUCAACCUGGGAACUGCAUUCGAAACUGGCAGGCUUGAGUCUUGUAGAGGGGGGUAGAAUUCCAGGUGUAGCGGUGAAAUGCGUAGAGAUCUGGAGGAAUACCGGUGGCGAAGGCGGCCCCCUGGACAAAGACUGACGCUCAGGUGCGAAAGCGUGGGGAGCAAACAGGAUUAGAUACCCUGGUAGUCCACGCCGUAAACGAUGUCUACUUGGAGGUUGUGCCCUUGAGGCGUGGCUUCCGGAGCUAACGCGUUAAGUAGACCGCCUGGGGAGUACGGCCGCAAGGUUAAAACUCAAAUGAAUUGACGGGGGCCCGCACAAGCGGUGGAGCAUGUGGUUUAAUUCGAUGCAACGCGAAGAACCUUACCUGGUCUUGACAUCCACAGAAGAAUCCAGAGAUGGAUUUGUGCCUUCGGGAACUGUGAGACAGGUGCUGCAUGGCUGUCGUCAGCUCGUGUUGUGAAAUGUUGGGUUAAGUCCCGCAACGAGCGCAAC